rnacentral:rRNA from 1 species
UUUGCGACGCCCAACACACAAAACAAGCGGUGAGUGCUUUGGGGUGGGGUGACUGCGUACCUUUUGUAUAAUGGGUCAGCGACUUAUAUUCUGUAGCAAGGUUAACCGUAUAGGGGAGCCGAAGGGAAACCGAGUCUUAACUGGGCGUUAAGUUGCAGGGUAUAGACCCGAAACCCGGUGAUCUAGCCAUGGGCAGGUUGAAGGUUGGGUAACACUAACUGGAGGACCGAACCGACUAAUGUUGAAAAAUUAGCGGAUGACUUGUGGCUGGGGGUGAAAGGCCAAUCAAACCGGGAGAUAGCUGGUUCUCCCCGAAAGCUAUUUAGGUAGCGCCUCGUGAACUCAUCUUCGGGGGUAGAGCACUGUUUCGGCUAGGGGGUCAUCCCGACUUACCAACCCGAUGCAAACUGCGAAUACCGAAGAAUGUUAUCACGGGAGACACACGGCGGGUGCUAACGUCCGUCGUGAAGAGGGAAACAACCCAGACCGCCAGCUAAGGUCCCAAAGUCACAGUUAAGUGGGAAACGAUGUGGGAAGGCUCAGACAGCCAGGAUGUUGGCUUAGAAGCAGCCAUCAUUUAAAGAAAGCGUAAUAGCUCACUGGUCGAGUCGGCCUGCGCGGAAGAUGUAACGGGGCUAAACUGUGCACCGAAGCUGCGGCAGCGACGCUUAUGCGUUGUUGGGUAGGGGAGCGUUCUGUAAGCCUGCGAAGGUGUCCUGUGAGGGAUGCUGGAGGUAUCAGAAGUGCGAAUGCUGACAUAAGUAACGAUAAUGCGGGUGAAAAGCCCGCUCGCCGGAAGACCAAGGGUUCCUGUCCAACGUUAAUCGGGGCAGGGUGAGUCGACCCCUAAGGCGAGGCCGAAAGGCGUAGUCGAUGGGAAACGGGUUAAUAUUCCCGUACUUGGUGUUACUGCGAAGGGGGGACGGAGAAGGCUAUGUUGGCCGGGCGACGGUUGUCCCGGUUUAAGCGUGUAGGCUGGUUUUCCAGGCAAAUCCGGAAAAUCAAGGCUGAGGCGUGAUGACGAGGCACUACGGUGCUGAAGCAACAAAUGCCCUGCUUCCAGGAAAAGCCUCUAAGCAUCAGGUAACAUCAAAUCGUACCCCAAACCGACACAGGUGGUCAGGUAGAGAAUACCAAGGCGCUUGAGAGAACUCGGGUGAAGGAACUAGGCAAAAUGGUGCCGUAACUUCGGGAGAAGGCACGCUGACACGUAGGUGAAGUGAUUUACUCA